CCGAACUGAACCGAACCGGUGAAGUUAAAAACCCUAAAAUAACCACACCCCCACCCCCAAUUCCCCAUUCAGCUGCGUGACCUAACCCCACGCCUCCCACUCCCAGUCUCCCAGCGUGACCUAACCCCAUUCAGAGUGAUCGUUCCCCCUUACCCCAAUCGGAAGUGAAACCUGCCGAUCUCCUCAUCGCGCUCUCCCCUCAGGCCCUCACAGUCUGCACCGUUCCCCCUCGAAAGUGAAACCCCAUUCUUGAGUCUCGAGGCCGGCGGCGAACUCACGUUGCAGCACCUCCCAGCGCCGCGAGAGACCCUUCCUCCCAACGCCGUCGAACCUCUUCGUGGACAGAGCACCACGAAGACCCAGCACCAGCACCACCCUCGCACCCAGGCGUAGCACUCUAGCAGAACACCCACUGACCCGGCAGAGCACCCACUGACCCAGGCGUAGCAGUGUUUCUGGCCACCCAGGCACCCACAACACAGUAGGCACCGGUUGGCCCUCUUCCAGUGCUCUUCCUCCUUCCCAUCCACUUGACUUCAGGAUAUAAGAGAACUUGGAGUUUGUUUUGAUGCUAGAUGUGGAGCUACAAUAUUCAGGAGCAAGAAUAGAGGGGGAUGUUGUUACUUUGGAUUUUGUGAAGAAAAUGAUGGAUGAUUUCAAGAAUCAAAAGUACUUACACAAAUGUUAUGCAUUCCAGAUUGUAUUGCAAACCAGAGAAAUGUUGAAAGCUUUGCCUUCUCUUGUUGAUAUAAAUGUUCCCGAUGGCAAACAUUUUACUGUUUGUGGUGAUGUGCAAUAAUUCAAAAAUAGAAAGUGUGUUGAGCAAAUAUGGAUACUUGUGUACCACAUCUUUGUGCAGACUAAGAGUAGGACUCCAGAAAAGAAUUUAUGUACUUAGAGAAUGAUUAACUUGAAAAGAAAGUUAAGUUUCGUCAAUGAUGUGGAUUGUGUAUUUGUGUUGUUACAGUAAUGCCAUUCAAUGAAUUAGUUUGGUUAUGUUCUUUCUAA